AGUGAACGCUGGCGGUAGGCCUAACACAUGCAAGUCGAACGGCAGCACAGUAAGAGCUUGCUCUUACGGGUGGCGAGUGGCGGACGGGUGAGGAAUACAUCGGAAUCUACUUUUUCGUGGGGGAUAACGUAGGGAAACUUACGCUAAUACCGCAUACGACCUACGGGUGAAAGCAGGGGAUCUUCGGACCUUGCGCGGUUGAAUGAGCCGAUGUCGGAUUAGCUAGUUGGCGGGGUAUAGGCCCACCAAGGCGACGAUCCGUAGCUGGUCUGAGAGGAUGAUCAGCCACACUGGAACUGAGACACGGUCCAGACUCCUACGGGAGGCAGCAGUGGGGAAUAUUGGACAAAGGGCGCAAGCCUGAUCCAGCCAUACCGCGUGGGUGAAGAAGGCCUUCGGGUUGUAAAGCCCUUUUGUUGGGAAAGAAAAGCAGCAGGUUAAUACCCCGCUGUUCUGACGGUACCCAAAGAAUAAGCACCGGCUAACUUCGUG
rnacentral:rRNA from 1 species